UACUUUAAUGAUGAUUGCCAUUACCGCCCCAGUCUGACAUGUUUCCUGACUGAUUGGUAAUUCUGAUGCC